GGUGACAAAGGCCAGUGAACACCUGGGAGCAUAGGACGUAUGAGCCAUUCCUAGUUUCCGUAGCUGUGAUCAGCCAGAUGCACUGUGGCAGAUCAUUUGUCCCUCCAGGAUUCCCUUUAUCUUGUGACCCGGCCGUAUGCUGAGGGUGAACUUCUCCCACAUACCCCUGGGCUGGGAUCCUUCGCUAAAGGCUGUCAGGCAGCAGCUUGGGCUGCGAACGGUGAACCCUGAACUCAAACACAGAGUUUGCAGUUCUGUAGUGCAAAUGUUUGCUGAACAGGAGGUGAGCUGUGCUCACCACCUGAACCAGACCUAGCGCUGAGCUGGAACGAGGAAGGUGAUGCAUUCCCCACGUGCUACCUUGCUGGACUGCUGCAGCUGCGAGCGGGGCCAGGGUUGCUGUCCAGGAGCACAGUCUGGCUACCUGGGGUGCCUGGAUGGCUACAGCUUGUAACGCCCUCCCUAGGGAGUGUGCCCAGGCACACACAGACCGAUAGCUUUUUUAAACCUGCCUGCACCAUGUCGACAACAUGCUGGUCCCGAGGGCCAUCACUGGUCCUGGGCGUGCUGGUGGGAGUCACUGAUCUACAUGCUUACAGGAGAUCUGCAGGGAGCGUGCUGUGGGAAUCCAGCGUUCGAGGAGUCCGCGAGCGUUUCCCUGGUCUCUCCCCUCUGUGCCUUGAUGGGAUCCAAUCUACUUAGGUCAUUCCUGAUAAUUAUCUGUUGAAUCUGUUUGUCAAGAUUGCAGUGGCAGACUCUCCUUGAAGCAAUCCAUACUAUUGUUUGCUAUGCUGCUUUCUGCUCUAAAGCUUUUCCUAUGGUCUGACCUUCGUUUUCUUUCACUACAGGGUUUUUGUGCUGCCAUCCAAGAGAACAAACAGCAUCACAGCAGUGGGCCGCCUGUAUUGCGCGGCAUCUGGGUGGCGGAGCGUGGUCUGGGUGCUGGCAGCAUGCAGAGGAGACGCCGCCGUCGGAGGAACAGCUGCCUGAGCGGCCAUCGGGCGGGAGGAGCUUCCAGUAGGGCAGAACCAGGAUCGGAGCUGGAGCUGGAGCCGGAGCCGGAGCUGGAACCCGUCUCUGGCCCAUGGCCUGCAGGAGGAGACCCUGGACCUUCGCAGAGUCUGAACCAAACUCAGCUGGAGAGCAGGUUGGCUUAGACUAGACAUGACCUGGCGGGUAGGCAAACACAUUUGGGCCACUGGGAACUUGGGGUCAAGGGCAAGUUUGAAGCUGAGCAAAGACAACAGUGGUGAGAGUUAACCCAGGCAGUGCCGGGAGUAACCUCAGGAUCUCCCGAGACACAGCCUGGAGCUCUGUCUGUGCCUGCUGUAGUAUUUCCCACGUGAAGGUAAAUUCUCCUGAGACGAGGCACUUUUAUACCAACCUGACUUGACUUCACAGUGCAUUCGACACUGUCCCAGUCUAGGUCUAACCAGUAUAAACCUACUGCGAAACCAGUGCACCUACUGCAUGCCUACCUGGUGGCCAUUCUCAGUGACUCUCCUUUUGCUGGCGCUUUAAAGCCUUUGCAAAUUUAGCAUCUCCUGCAGUACUGCAGAUCUGAUAGAAAGCAGCCUCCGUGUAACAGAAACAAGCUUAUAUUUCCCCUGCAGUUUACUUUGGUUAUAGACAGGUUUAGAAGUUUGGGUUUGGGGUUUUUUUUUUAAAUGAAAUGCCUUAUCUGCGUGUUCCUACUGCAAUAUGAUUUCCCUUUCUGCCAUGACUUCCCUCCCAGAGGUCCAGUUUUAUUUAACAUCUCUAAUUUAAUGAUGUGGAAGGGGGAGGAAAGCAGCCUGCUAAUGAAAUUUGCAGAGAGCUAACGAACUGGCCAGCUCUGCAAACCUAGCCCAAGACUGAAAAGACAACACGGGAGGGGGAGGUCAGGAACCAGAGUGGGAUAUAAGGUGAGCCCUGGCUUGGGAGAUUGCAGGCUAACGAUCCCAGGGCGGAGAAGGUCUGUGGGGGGAGGUGAGAUGGUAAAACAGAGCUGGUAAGGUUGGAGUUCACCCACAGCUUCACACCUUGUGCAGGGCUAGCUCUUCCUGCAGUGCAGGGGCAAACGAGGUAGCAGCAUUUGCUGCAGCCAGAACAUUAGCAGAGAGGGGAGGAGAGAAACCAACACAACAUCUGCCUGGGUCUUGUCAGCCAGCACACAGCCUGAAAAACAUGCAUCUUGACAGGGUUUUUAUGCCCCGACUUACCCCUCUGGGAUUGCUCCAGCAACCCUGUCUCUGCAGAGAGUUUCAGCAGCGUGAAGAAGCCCCCGGGCUACACAGAGUUGGAACACGAGCCAGGUUCGCUCCUUGGUGCUGUGUCCUCACCCCCGCUCCCAGCGGGACACAGGUCCACAUGUGGGGAACCUCACUGCGUCCCUCAGGUAUGGCUCACACCGUCUGGCCGGAGGGAUCUGCUCCUUGCCCCACGAUGGCUUUUAGCAACAUGAAGAAGAGCCAUCAAGGACACCUGUGGCGGGGUGCCCGAGGGAGACCACUAGCCAGGCUUGGCUGGCCCCCUUGCCACUACAGGGCUUUGCUCCAUCCCACAUUGCUCCACAUCAACAGGACUUACUUGUGAUGCUAAGAUAAUUCCCAGGGAUUUAGGAGCUCAUUUCAUUUGAUCUGGCUUGUUAAUUCCCAAGUCAAUCGCUGAUUAGAGGCCACGUGUCAAGAGAUCUGGAAACUCACUUGCAGGUUUCUCAGCUGGGCCCUUUGUGUAUCCGGGGGGAUUGCAGGGUCCUGGCAUCCACGGCUGCUGCCACUCAACAUGGUUAUGCCGAGGGUGGCAGGCUGCCGGCAGCCGCGUAGGACAGAGCGAGCAAGGAGGGCAGUAGCAGGGGCAGCUGGGGGGCCCAGGUCCCGCCAUGCUCACAAGGGGGACAAAUUUACUGGGUGGAACUAAGGGGACUCUCGCCCCUCAUUAGGACCAGCACCACUUGUGAUAGCCCCACUUUGGUCAGCAUGUUACAGAUGAAACAAGAGCAAAAUCCUUUCUUUCUGAUCUGUCUUAAACUCCUUCUAAGGAAGGAAAAGCUGGAAACAAAAAGGAGUUUUUAUUUCACAGCGCUCAAAAUAUUUUGGUACUUUCUAAAUGAAAAGUUUCUCCAGAGUUUUGAUACCGAAAAAAACAAGAACACCCCCCCCCCCCUUCAACAAAACUUGUUUGCAAAGUGUUUCGAUGCUACAGCACUUGCAUUUUUCUCUGAAAAAGCAGCUUUGUUGCAAAAACUUUACUUAGCUCCAGCCUCAUCCAUUUUCAGCAUCAUGCAGAGGUAUCACCUCCCUUUCUCCGUAAACUAUUAUCAUCACGUCCUCCACAUAACAGCAACUUGCACUUUGGGUACGGAAAACAGCAAGGGACAUUAUUCCAUCCGUAUUCUCUUGUUAUUCCUGCUCCUUGAACAGACUGAAGCUGUGGCCAAAAGAAGAAAUUACAAGGCUCUUCCCAUUUUGCCAGGAGCCUAGCAAUUGCCCAAUAAAUCUCCAUCUGCAGAAGUAUUAGUCACCCGUGCCAAGGAAAGAAGCAAGGGUUUGAAUGACUGAGACUCUCCCAUUUUGCCUCUGUGAGCGCAGGAACAAUACAAGCUGAGCCACAAAAAGCCAAGUGAUAAAGGAACCAGCCUCGCAGAGAGUCUUCCCACCUCCUACCAAGGGCCCUGCUGUUUCCUUUUCGGCUCAGUGAUUUUUCCAUGAGAAAAUGCCCUGGGAAACUGGUUUUUCAGUGUGUGGGGACUUUUGUUCAUGAUGCCCUAAACCAGAGUCAUGGUACGCUUUUCCUUCCAGAUGGGAAAACAGAAUCUUCUGAAGACGUCAGAGGAAGGCCCCUGGGAGCUGCUUCUCUCUCCCACCCCCACCCCCCAUCCAGCAAGUUACAUGGCCUCCAGAAGCACAAAUCUAAGAAGCGGAGCCCAACAGUGUAGCUGCAAAUGUUGAACGUCAUCAAGCAGAAGUGAGAGACAGUCCCACCUCGGAGACCUUCUGCUUCGCACAGACAAAGAAAGGUGACCACUGUCACCUAACAGGUCGUCAGCAGAGCUGGGACGGCAGCCUAAAGCUCGAACCACCUUUUCCCACCCUGCUCGCCGCACUACUGCUUUCCUACUCCCACUCAAAACACUGCUGGUGAGUUUUCUCUGUUCCCCCUCCCCAAGUGACAGUUUUUGCUGAAUCUGCUGCACCGAUACACUUUCAGGGCAGGUCUCCACCUCCAGUAUGGUGUGACAAACUACACCAUCCCAGAGAUCUCUGUAUCGCUUACUCUGGUUUUUGUGUUUAGUGUGGUCCGACGACAGUACCAGGUUCACGGGACAGGUGCCGGUAAAAGUUUGAUGCAGGAGUGUCGGUAGAUGUCAAAAUCGGUCUCAAAAUGCACCGGUACACUAAGAGGUUGGAGUGGAUGCCAGGCUGAAUAUGAACCAGUUUUUUUUUGCGUCCUUGCAAGCUGAUAAUUUACUUAACUUCUUUCUUUUUAUCAGUCAAAGAGCAGCUAGUAUGUCCACUGAUCUCUUUUUCUUACUAUUUCUAGGCUUGGCUGGAACAGGAUUUAGUUCAAAGGCUACUCAGUAAAGCAGCAGGUUGAGCAAGCUGGGUAAUUUGGGCAGGAAUUGGUUGAUAUGUGGGCUAAUACAGACUUGCCUUUGUAACCCAGUUCAUCAAAGCAAUUUACUUCUGGGCUAGCAUCAAUUCAGGAGCUUUCCAAUCAACCGACGUUAAGCUAAAGUAAGGGCCAAAUUUCCGAGCAGGCACUGCGAAUUUGGAGGGUUUGGGCAUUUUACUGAGCGAGCGAUGAUAGCAAUCACUGGAUUUCCUUGCGAGAGAAUUGUUCCUGCUUCUGUGCAGGCAGCUUUGGAGCCUGAAGAUCCCUUACAGGCAUGAAAAAGAAGGCCAAAAGUGCAGGGAUUUUAUAAAUAUCACACUGGACUCUAAUGCUGCAGCAGCGUACGUAUAUGGUCUGAAAACCAAGCCAUUUUUUAGCCUACUUGCUACACUUGAGUCCACCUGUCAGUAACCGAGAUCAAUGAAGUACUUGACAGCUUUAUUUCUGACACGCGAUGCCUGCGGUGUUAAAACUGUGUGUGUUUCCUGAACUCCAGGAGAGUGCUGAGGCACCCAAAGCUGUUAUGUCAGCUCUGCAAAUUUCACCCCAAAUAUUGAGAUGCAUUAACUUUUGCUUCCUGUUGCAGGACUGCAUUCUAUCUGUGUUUCUACGUGGUAACGCUGAAGCUCUCCUCCCACCCCAGCUCAGAGCCACGCGCUCCCUUUAAGCUUAGAGCAGCUGCUGGACAAUGCCAGGUUCUCUCCCUGGACUUAGAUUUCACCACGCUUCCUGCUGCAACACAUGGGAGAGAUGUGGGUCACCUGUCACAUUCCUGCCAUUACCGUCCUUCCGAUAACCCACUGGCUCCCGGCCACGGCAGCGCCAUGACCCACAGGGACAGACAGGGGUGGUGGGAAGGAGGAAGGGACGUAAAUGAAACAAUUUGUGCUCCUUCGCUUGGCUAGCAACAAGCCCUGCUGAUAGGAGACAAUCCCCAGUGUGGUCUAAAUUUUCACCUGUGCUCAAAUACUCAGAUGGAUAAUCUGGGUCCAGGAAACAUUAUUUGUGUUUAUCAGCCAGAUGUUUCACAGGAAAUAAACCCAGCGUUCCGCAUUGACAGGAAUUUUGGGCCAGCCACAGCAAA